rnacentral:rRNA from 1 species
AUUGAACGCUGGCGGCAGGCCUCACACAUGCAAGUCGAACGAGUGGCGGACGGGUGAGUAAUGUAUGGGAAACUGCCCGAUGGAAGGGGAUCACUACUGGAAACGGUCGCUAAUACCGCAUACUAUCGGAUGUGCCCAAAUGGGACUAGCUUGUUGGUGGGGUAAUGGCUCAUGUGGGCGGUGAUCCCUAGCGGGUCUGAGAGGAUGACCAGCCAACCUGGAACUGAGACACGGGUCAAGAUCCUACGGAGGGCGGCAGUGGGGAUUAUGGCGCAAUGGGCGCAAGCCUGAUGCAGCCAUGCGGCGGGGUUGAAGAAGGCCUUCGGGUUGUAAAGUACGUUCAGCGAGGAGGCGUUACUCGCAGAGGAAGCACCGGCUAACUCCGUGCAAGCAGCCGCGGUAAUAC